rnacentral:rRNA from 1 species
AUACGUAGGUGGCAAGCGUUGUCCGGAAUUACUGGGUGUAAAGGGAGUGUAGGCGGGAUCGCAAGUCAGAAGUGAAAAUUAUGGGCUCAACUCAUAACCUGCUUUUGAAACUGCGAUUCUUGAGUGAAGUAGAGGCAAGCGGAAUUCCUAGUGUAGCGGUGAAAUGCGUAGAUAUUAGGAGGAACACCAGUGGCGAAGGCGGCUUGCUGGGCUUUUACUGACGCUGAGGCUCGAAAGCGUGGGGAGC